GUGCUUGCUUCGGCAGCACAUAUACUAAAAUUAGAACAAUACAGAGAAAAUUAACACGGCCCCUGUGCAAGGAUGACACACAGAUCUGUGACGCAUUCCAUGAAAAA